rnacentral:rRNA from 1 species
UACGUAGGUGGCAAGCGUUGUCCGGAUUUACUGGGCGUACAGAGCGCGCAGGCGGUCGUUCAAGUCGCGUGUGAAAGCCCCCGGCUCAACUGGGGAGGGUCACGCGAUACUGAUCGACUCGAAGGCAGGAGAGGGUAGUGGAAUUCCCGGUGUAGCGGUGAAAUGCGUAGAGAUCGGGAAGAACAUCGGUGGCGAAAGCGCUCUACUGGACCGCAACUGACACUCAGGGACGAAAGCUAGGGGAGCGAAUGGG